AUUGAACGCUGGCGGCAUGCUUUACACAUGCAAGUCGAACGGUAGAGGGGGCAACCCCUUGAGAGUGGCGAACGGGUGAGAAAUGCAUCGGAACGUGCCCAGUAGUGGGGGAGAGCCCGGCGCAAGCCGGAUUAAUACCGCAUGAGACCUAAGGGUGAAAGAGGGGGAUCGCAAGACUGCCCGCUACUGGUGCUGCCGAGGUGAGACUAGGUAGUUGGUGGGGUAAAGGCCUACCAAGCCUGCGAUCUGUAGCUGGUCUGAGAGGACGAUCAGCCACACGGGGAAUGAGACACGGCCCAGACUCCUACGGGAGGCAGCAGUGGGGAAUAUUGGACAAUGGGCGAAAGCCUGAUCCAGCCAUGCCGCGUGUGUGAAGAAGGUCUUCGGAUUGUAAAGCACUUUAAGUUGGGAGGAAGGGCUGUAGGCUAAUAUCCUGCAGUUUUGACGUUACCGACAGAAUAAGCUCCGGCUAACUUCGUGCCAGCCGCCGCAGUAAAAC
rnacentral:rRNA from 1 species